GGGGCAACCUUCCAUCCAGUGGCGAACGGGUGAGUAAUGCAUCGGAACGUGUCCCGUAGUGGGGGAUAACGCCGCGAAAGCGGCGCUAAUACCGCAUAUGCUCUACGGAGGAAAGUGGGGGACCUGAAAGGGCCUCACGCUAUGGGAGCGGCCGAUGUCCGAUUAGCUUGUUGGUGGGGUAAUGGCCUACCAAGGCGACGAUCGGUAACUGGUCUGAGAGGAUGAUCAGCCACACUGGGACUGAGACACGGCCCAGACUCCUACGGGAGGCAGCAGUGGGGAAUUUUGGACAAUGGGGGCAACCCUGAUCCAGCCAUGCCGCGUGCGGGAAGAAGGCCUUCGGGUUGUAAACCGCUUUUAGUCGGGAAGAAAAGGCACGCUCUAAUACGGCGUGUUCUUGACGGUACCGGCGGAAUAAGCACCGGCUAACUACGUGCCAGCAGCCGCGGUAAUACGUAGGGUGCGAGCGUUAAUCGGAAUUACUGGGCGUAAAGCGUGCGCAGGCGGUUCGUUGUGUCUGUCGUGAAAGCCCCGGGCUCAACCUGGGAAUGGCGAUGGAAACUGGCGAGCUGGAGUGUGGCAGAGGGGGGUGGAAUUCCGCGUGUA
rnacentral:rRNA from 1 species